CGGUACGGCCCCUUCGGGGUACACGAGCCGGCGAACGGGUGAGUAACACGUGAGCAACCUGCCCCCGACUCUGGGAUAAGCGGUGGAAACGCCGUCUAAUACCGGAUACGACCCGCCACCUCAUGGUGUACGGGUGGAAAGUUUUUUCGGUUGGGGAUGGGCUCGCGGCCUAUCAGCUUGUUGGUGGGGUAAAGGCCUACCAAGGCGAUUACGGGUAGCCGGCCUGAGAGGGCGACCGGCCACACUGGGACUGAGACACGGCCCAGACUCCUGCGGGAGGCAGCAGUGGGGAAUAUUGCACAAUGGGCGAAAGCCUGAUGCAGCGACGCCGCGUGGGGGAUGACGGCCUUCGGGUUGUAAACCUCUUUUACCACUAACGCAGGCUCCACGUUCUCGUGGGGUUGACGGUAGGUGGGGAAUAAGGACCGGCUAACUACGUGCCAGCAGCCGCGGUANUACGUAGGGUCCGAGCGUUGUCCGNAAUUAUUGGGCGUAAAGAGCUCGUAGGCGGCGUGUCGCGUCUGCUGUGAAAGACCGGGG
rnacentral:rRNA from 1 species